GAAAUGCGAUACUUGGUGUGAAUUGCAGAAUCCCGUGAACCAUCGAGUCUUUGAACGCAAGUUGCGCCCCAAGCCUUCGGGCCGAGGGCACGUCUGCCUGGGUGUCACGCAUCGUUGCUCCCCCCCCGAACCCCGAACCUCGGGAACGUGGCCGGCGGGGGCGAAAAUUGGCCUCCCGUGCGUCGCAGGGCACGCGGUUGGCCCAAAUUCGAGUCCUCGGCCGCGCGAGCCGCGACUUUCGGUGGUCGUAACGAACCUCGAUGUCCCGUCGCGCUCGUGCCGCCUCACGUGCGGACUCCGCGACCCUCAACGCGUCGUCGAUCGCCGGCGCUCGCAUCGCGACCCCAGGUCAGGCGGGAUUACCCGCUGAGUUUAAGC
rnacentral:misc_RNA from 1 species